UACGUAGGGGGCAAGCGUUGUCCGGAAUCAUUGGGCGUAAAGAGCGUGUAGGCGGCCCGGUAAGUCCGCUGUGAAAGUCCAGGGCUCAACCCUGGGAUGCCGGUGGAUACUGUCGGGCUCGAGUCCGGAAGAGGAGUGUGGAAUUCCUGGUGUAGCGGUGAAAUGCGCAGAUAUCAGGAGGAACACCAAUGGCGAAGGCAGCACUCUGGGACGUGACUGACACUGAGGCGCGAAAGCGUGGGGAGCGAACAGG
rnacentral:rRNA from 1 species